UGCCAGACUCCUACGGGAGGCAGCAGUGAGGAAUAUUGGUCAAUGGGCGGAAGCCUGAACCAGCCAAGUCGCGUGAGGGAAGAAGGCCCUGCGGGUCGCAGACCUCUUUGGACGGGGAGCAAGGCCGCCGACGUGUCGGCGGAAGGAGAGUACCCGUAGAACAAGCAUCGGCUAACUCCGUGCCAGCAGCCGCGGUAAUACGGAGGAUGCGAGCGUUAAUCGGAAUUACUGGGCGUAAAGCGCACGCAGGCGGUUUGUUAAGUCAGAUGUGAAAUCCCCGGGCUCAACCUGGGAACUGCCUUUGAAACUGGCAAACUGGAGUGUGUGAGAGGAUAGUGGAAUUCCAGGUGUAGGAGUGAAAUCCGUAGAUAUCUGGAGGAACAUCAGUGGCGAAGGCGACUAUCUGGCACAUAACUGACGCUGAGGGGCGAAAGCGUGGGUAGCAAACAGGAUUAGAUACCCCGGUAAG
rnacentral:rRNA from 1 species